CAAAAGCACACGCCUCACUGCAGAGCCUAACAAGGAAUGACCUGAACUCAAACCACGGGAGCAUUUAAUGUCCUCCUAGAAUUUCUGGCUCUCUCAUUGUUGCGUCACCCUCGGUCGCAAGCCGCACGGAGUGCUCAAGGCCCAUAUUCACACUCUGGACAGUCGGAGCGCUCCCAGACCGCAGGGGGCGACGAUGCGACCAAUGGCGAAUGAUUCCACCCACAGGAAGUGCCUGCGUACCAACAGGAAGCGCAUGGCAUGAAAUGUUUGUGGAGAGCUCAGAUGGCCCUCUCACUCGGUCUUGAGGAAAAGGACAUUGUGGCCACAGCUCCUAAUCUCCCAAAGACGCAACUGGUUAUCAACCUGCUCUGCUCUGUUCUGUCUGAUCCACCAAACCACCCUUAAAAAUAAAAGAUCAUAAAAUCAACAGUUCUCGAGUUGUCCCUUGCAUCCACCGAAGAGGAAGCUCUUUUCGAGUUUGGGCAGAGCCGUGGUCAGUCCAAAUAAAUCACACGAAACUCGACACUCAUCUUUCCCACACAUAGAAAGCAGAAGGGAAAUAGAGAAAGUGCACACCUCCUCUGUGUGUCUCUCAGGCUUAUUGGUAGCUUAUUAAUUCUGACUUGCACAGAUCCUUUGUAUUUCAAAAAGUCCUAAUUCCUUGGUUUUGACAUGUCACACCAUGCAGAGUCACUAUAACCCACAUAUUCUUCAAAACCAGGUAAUUUGCCAUUUGUGCUGGAUUUAGAAAAAAGAAGCCAAGGCAAAAGGCGUUUUUACUGUAGUUUGCAUUACAGCUUUGGGGCGAUACAGCGGCAAAAUGCUUGAUAACAAUUUGUUUUUCCUGCAAGAUUUGCCACUGCAGGUCUGUCCUUAAGUGAGCAUGAUAUGGAUUUUUAAAGGAGUCCGUAAACCGCAAAAUAAGACAGCCAAAUGGAUUCUUCUCCUCAGUGCACUAGAGGGAGACCUAUGUGCACAUUGGUUGUCAGAAAUUUAAUCGAGGCAAACUUUGAGCUUGCAAGUUUCAUCAUGUGUGAAACAAUGUAAUUGUAUCUUGAAAUUUUUGGCUAUGGAGGAAGCACUUUUCACUCUAUGAGAGCAGGAGUGGAACUUCAGCAUUAGUUUCUUAUAGUCUUUGUGAAACUGAUUUGCUUUUAUUCAUCAGCCAACGUCAAUUAGUGUGAUCUCACUGUCAUUCCUCUCAAUCCCCGACAUUCUAAGGUUUCGAGGGGCAGACUGAAGAUUUGGAAAUACACAGGAAGACGAAGGCUUCCCUCUGCUGACAUGUGGGAGCGAGUGACUACACAGACUAUAGCCUGGGAUCUAAUGUCAGUAAUGACUACAGCCAAGAAACUACAGCCAGAGAGCACUUAAGGAGUGGAACAAAGCGUUUAUGUGCCUGUUUUAAGCUUUACUUCAUCUUGUUUUGCUCUCUUUGUUAUAUGUUUUUCUGUUCAUUUCAGACCAUUGUCACGGCUCCUCUGCCUUGCAGGGGCGGUUCCUCCUGCAGAAAGAGGAGGGUCUUUAGUACACCUUACACUAUGACAUUCGCACACCUCAUUCCUUUUCUUUGUUUAAAGUUUUUGAUUUAUAAUAAACUCUUCUUUUGAUAGGCCUAUACUUGGUGUUUGUGUCCCCUCAUUCUUGCCACAGGCUAUGAGCCGGCCUGUGACACCAUGAAUAUACCCUGAAGCUACUGAAACCAAAAC